rnacentral:rRNA from 1 species
UACGUAGGGGGCAAGCGUUGUCCGGAAUCAUUGGGCGUAAAGCGCGUGUAGGCGGCCCGCACAGUCUGGUGUGAAAUCUCGGGGCUCAACCCCGAGCUGUCACUGGAUACUGGCGGGCUUGAGUCCGGAAGAGGAGUGUGGAAUUCCUGGUGUAGCGGUGGAAUGCGCAGAUAUCAGGAGGAACACCGAUGGCGAAGGCAGCACUCUGGUACGUGACUGACGCUGAGACGCGAAAGCGUGGGGAGCAAACAGG